GACGAGGGAUCCUAGCGUUGUUCGGAAUUAUUGGGCGUAAAGCGGGUGUAGGCGGAUCUAUAAGUCAGGUGUGAAAUCCCAGGGCUCAACCCUGGAAGUGCACUUGAUACUGUAGAUCUUGAAUGUGGUAGAGGUUACUGGAAUUGUUGGUGUAGUGGUGAAAUACGUAGAUAUCAACAGGAAUACCGGAGGCGAAGGCGAGUAACUGGGCCAACAUUGACGCUGAGAUCCGAAAGUGUGGGGAUCAAACAGG
rnacentral:rRNA from 1 species